UACGUAGGGGGCAAGCGUUGUCCGGAAUUAUUGGGCGUAAAGAGCGUGUAGGCGGCCAGAUAAGUCCGCUGUGAAAUCUCGAGGCUCAACUUCGAGCUGUCGGUGGAAACUAUCUGGCUAGAGUCCGGAAGAGGAGAAUGGAAUUCCUGGUGUAGCGGUGAAAUGCGCAGAUAUCAGGAGGAACACCGGUGGCGAAGGCGGCUCUCUGGACCACAACUGACGCUGAGGCGCGAAAGCUAGGGGAGCAAACAGG
rnacentral:rRNA from 1 species